AUAAUUACCUGGCAGGGGAGAUACCAUGAUCACGAAGGUGGUUUUCCCAGGGCGAGGCUUAUCCAUUGCACUCCGGAUGUGCUGACCCCUGCGAUUUCCCCAAAUGUGGGAAACUCGACUGCAUAAUUUGUGGUAGUGGGGGACUGCGUUCGCGCUCUCCCCUG
rnacentral:snRNA from 1 species